rnacentral:rRNA from 1 species
UACGUAGGGUGCGAGCGUUAAUCGGAAUUACUGGGCGUAAAGCGUGCGCAGGCGGUUCGUUGUGUCGGUGGUGAAAGCCCCGGGCUUAACCUGGGAAUGGCCGUCGAAACUGGCGAACUGGAGUGUGGCAGAGGGGGGUGGAAUUCCGCGUGUAGCAGUGAAAUGCGUAGAGAUGCGGAGGAACACCGAUGGCGAAGGCAGCCCCCUGGGCUGACACUGACGCUCAGGCACGAAAGCGUAGGGAGCAAACAGG